AGAUACACCAUUCUGUCAGAGCUCCUGUGAAGUUACAUUUGUGAGCAGUGGGCCAGAGUAAAUGGAAAUGAGAGGCUGUGGAUUCAUUCUGGAUUAAAGAAAAUCAAGUUUGAUUGAGGAAGCCCCCUGAAAUUUCUGACUGCAGACAUAAAGAAAUAAACCUAAAAAAACUACAACACAUGGGAUGUAUGUUUUACCUGCUCAAACAUAGAACAAAAAAUCAUCUUUGACAGACAAUGUGUAUAAUGCACAGUAUAUACUUGUAUUAAUACAUAAUAAAGGUAAUAUGGAUGUUA